ACACUUACCUGGCAGGGGAGAUGCCAGGAUCACGAAGGUGGUUUCCCCAGGGUGAGGCUUGUCCAUUGCACUCCGGGUGUGCUGACCCCUGCGAUUUCCCCAAGGGUGGGAAACUCCACUGCACAAUUCGUGGGGGACUGUGUUUGCGUUCUCCCCUG